rnacentral:rRNA from 1 species
UUAGUCGGUCUCGGAGCAAACGAAGUGAAGCAUGUCAUUUAAUACGAAAGUACGCGUAAAAUCUUACCAGUUCUUGCAUAAACCAAUCGCUCUAUAUUUGAUAUUUAAGAGGCUAUUAUUAUAUUCUCUUAAAUAUUUAUUGUAGACCAGAUUGCAUAGUUUCUUACAUUACUUAUUUUAUUUACCUUUUUAAGUACUUAAAAAUUUAAAAAGGCAAAACAAAAUUAAAAAAAAGAAACUUGUUUACAGGUGUUGCAUGGCUGUCGUCA